UUCGGGACGCCGGCGAGUGGCGAACGGGUGAGUAACACGUGGAGACCUGCCCUGGGGUGGGGGAUAACAACUGGAAACGGUUGCUAAUACCGCAUACGCCUUACGAGGGAAAGAUUUAUUGCCCCUGGAGGGUUCCGCGUCGGAUUAGCUUGUUGGUGGGGUAACGGCCUACCAAGGCGACGAUCCGUAGCUGGUCUUAGAGGAUGAUCAGCCACACUGGAACUGAGACACGGUCCAGACUCCUACGGGAGGCAGCAGAGGGGAAUAUUGCGCAAUGGGGGCAACCCUGACGCAGCGAUGCCGCGUGGGUGAAUAAGGCCUUAGGGUUGUAAAGCCCUUUCAGUGGGAACGAUGAUGACGGUACCCACAGAAGAAGCCCCGCCUAACUCCGUGCCAGCAGCCGCGGUAAUACGGAGGGGGCGAGCGUUGUUCGGAAUUAUUGGGCGUAAAGAGCGCGUAGGCGGCUUGUCAAG
rnacentral:rRNA from 1 species